rnacentral:rRNA from 1 species
AGAGUUUGAUCAUGGCUCAGAUUGAACGUUGGCGGCAGGCCUAACACAUGCAAGUCGAACGGUAACAGGAAGAAGCUUGCUUCUUUGCUGACGAGUGGCGGACGGGUGAGUAAUGUCUGGGAAACUGCCUGAUGGAGGGGGAUAACUACUGGAAACGGUAGCUAAUACCGCAUAACGUCGCAAGACCAAAAAGGGGGACCUUCGGGCCUCUUGCCAUCGGAUGUGCCCAGAUGGGAUUAGCUAGUAGGUGGGGUAACGGCUCACCUAGGCGACGAUCCCUAGCUGGUCUUAGAGGAUGACCAGCCACACUGGAACUGAGACACGGUCCAGACUCCUACGGGAAACAGCAGUGGGGAAUAUUGCACAAUGGGCGCAAGCCUGAUGCAGCCAUGCCGCGUGUAUGAAGAAGGCCUUCGGGUUGUAAAGUACUUUCAGCGGGGAGGAAGGGAGUAAAGUUAAUACCUUUGCUCAUUGACGUUACCCGCAGAAGAAGCACCGGCUAACUCCGUG